CCAACAAGGCAACAACCGAGAAACACAAAGAGUCCAUGACCCGGUUUUCCCCCCAAAUCGACUAUGUCAAAACCCUAGAAGACCCUUUACCGUGGCGGGUGGCGUCGCAACACUAGCCAUUUGUAUCCAUCCGGGUCAGGCUACAUUCCUCGGACCCAUUCUUCCUUAGCAGUGACUUCCAUACUGAAUCUAGGGUGUGGAGUUGAAAAAGGAACUGCAGACAAUGGGGGUUGUAUUUUCAAAGAAGAGUAAAAUGAUAUGGAGACAUUGGUUCAAGGUUGAUAAUAGCCUUAAGCAACAAAUAUACUUGUCUCGUAUUAAAGAUAAUCUUGUGUUCUUAACAAAUGGUUAGGAAAACACAUCACUUGCAAAGGCCACAAUUCACUUUAAUGCAAGAUGAGUCAAUCUGUUGGUUUAGGGCGACAACACUUGAAUCUGAUGGCAUGCAAUUACAAAGAAGGUGUUUCUAAGUAGUGCAUUUAUUUGCUAUGAGCCCCAGACGUUCAAGGUGUUAUCUGUGCUGAGUGGUGAUAGUGGUUUGCAAGGUUUGAAGCAUAUUAUUGCAUUGUCAAAUGUACAUAUUGCUCUUUCAGGUUGGUACAUAAAUGCCUCUUCAAUUGCUAUGUGUGUAUGUUUGUGUGUGUUUACAUAUAUAAUGUAUAUAUGUAUGUGUGUGUGUCUUUUUAUAUUUAAAGUAUUAUGUGUCCUUAUAAUGGAAAUGUAAGUCAUCUGCAACAGAAGACAUGAGGAGAGAAAAGUGAAUGUAGAUUAUUUCAGCACAUAAGAUUACAUAGUUAGCUUCUGACUGAUACUCCUUUAUUUCUUUUUUCAUGUCAUUUCUCGUCUUUCUAUGUUUUUGAUUUGGUAACAAUUAUAUUCUUUUCAUGGCAUUUAUUCAAUAAAAUGAUAAUUGUUGUUUCUUGAUAUACUCUAAUAGCUGAUUAGAUGCUCAUUUGGCCUUCCCUCCUUGGUGAACAAAUAAGAAUUGCUUAAUACACUAGUGUGUUUUUGAUAAAGGAGACUAAUCUACAAGGAGAUUACACAGGCAAAUAUGGACUUCUUAGUUUCCUGGUUGAGCACUAUGCAGACAGGAAGUUAGUAGGCUUCAAAACAAGUUAUCUGAUUCAGCUCUGUCCAGAAAUUUUUAGAGAAUAUGUAGUCAGGGAUUGUUUGGUUGAUAACAUAAGAAAGUAUCACCGCACACAAAUUUCUACAUGUCUGAUAUACUAUGUUUGAUUUGCAACAUAAAACUCUGUACUGCUAAUUUAAUUUCCGGUGUAAAACUAUGCAUAACAAAUAUUCCUUCCGUCCCAAUUUAAGUGUCUUGGUUUGAGUAAGCACAGCGUUUAAGAAACAAAGGGAGACUUUUGAAUCUCGUGGUCUUAAAUAAAAAUGUGUGUAGUCUUUAUUGUGGUCUUAAACUUGCCAGGUAGAUUGUUGAAACUGGAAAACUUACUAAUAUAGAAAGAGUCAGUCUUUCUAGGACAAUCAAGAAGGAAAGUAAGAGCAUGUUUGGAUUGACUUAUUUUAAGUGUUUUAAGCACUUAUCUAGUGUUUGGGUAAGAUAAAAUAAUGCUUUUAAGCACUUAUCUAGUGUUUGGGUAAGAUAAAAUAAUGCUUUUAAGCACUUGUGUCUAAGCCAAAAACUACAAGUCCAUCCAAACAGGCUCUACGACACUUAAACUUGAGAUGGAGGGAAUACUCUUUUGUUGUGAUACUAAAGUAUGUAUUGCUAAUACCAACAUAAUUAUGUGUGAUAUAGUGUAUUAUCUUAUGUGGGAUAGGAUACGGAAUAAAAAUAGUAAUUAUCGAUACUUGGAUAAGAGUAUCUAGAAGCAUAAACUUUGCUUUCAAAGUAGACAAUUAUUCAGCUCAUAACAAUCCCUACAUUGAUAUUCAUUGCAUAACACUCCUUCAUCAUGAUCCCUGCAUAAACUAGUCCGCAAACCAAAUGGCCCCUCCAGGUAUGAAUAGGGUGUGUGCCUGUUUCCUAUAUGAAGACCUUGAGGACAUGCAACAAGUGGGCAGAGUAAGGCUGGGAUGUCUCUCCAAUUCUUUUAAGCCAAGUAUAAUCAUAUUCAUGUUAGGAAUAUCUCUUUUCUUGAGAAUUGCUAUAUAUGCCAAAUAUACUUGUCAAAUUUUUUUAUCACAGCAGCGGUAGAUCACAUGUCAUAAAAAAGAUAUGCCAUUAAUGGGAAAUACGUUACUUAUUCCUAGAGAUAAUUUCUUUAUAAAGAUUGUGGUCAGAUUUUGUUAUGGUCUUUAUCUAUCUCUAUCACGAACCAUGUGCAAUGACUGCCCACUCUUUUAGGAUAUAUUGGCAUAUCGCAUGAUCAAGCCAGUUGUACUCUUUGGUUGUUCUGUCCUGUCUGAUCCAAUUGAUUGUAAUGUGUGACCCCUCAGCGGUUGUAAUUAUUGCAUUAAGGUGUAAAAAGGUACUCUAUUGAUUUAUUUUUCUUGUGAAUUUGUAUUCCUCCACUUCUUUGAUAAUGAUAGCUGGUAGGUUCCAUUCAUUACUAUUGUAAUCUCAAUCCACUUAGCUUGUACAGUCACAUUCAUUAGGCACUUGUAUGAGAGACACAUUGAUUCAACCACAAUCAAACAUAGAAGGCUGCCAUAACCUGUCAAUGUUAAACAAGGAUUGGGAGAACUGCUUUUCUAGAGAUCACACACUUUAUAUUGUAGAUUUGGUAUCGAAAGUAGUAAAGGAAAGAUGUAGAUUUUGAAUGUAGAAAUGGUAGUUUAUCAAUUCAGCAACGUAUAUGCAGUUAUAAAGAAGGGAAGGUAUGAUAGGAUUUGCAUGCGAUUUUGUCCUUCAUCGUCUCGAAAGCGAAAAAUCAUUCGUUUGUUAAUCUAUUUAGCGGUUGCUAAUUAUGAACUUCAAUACACAGCUAUUUGGCCCGCCUAAGUGCGGGCCCUUGAUGGCUCGCAUGACCUUGUAGGAAGGUCCUUCCAAUGAGUUGCAGUAUGCGCGUUUGCUGGCACGUAGGGAUCCAGCUGUCAGCACUGGACCCGAGCUGCGAUCAAGUUAAUAAUCACACCUUUCUUAGUGCCCAAGGAAGUAGUCCACAUUCUCAACUGUGCAUGUGCACAUGAAGCACCAAGUAACAGCAGUAUAUGCAAUGCUCCGGCGUUCUCAUGUUCUCGGAUCUUAGCGCUGGACCCAAGCUGAUAAACAUAUCUUUCUUGGUGCUCAGUUGGAUCAUACAACUCGUGGAGGACUUAUUCCUGGAACGUGGUCAGUAAUACUGGGUGUCCCUUAUACAGCAGCAACAUAAAACCUUGGUCAGAAACUAGUAUUAGGCUGAAUGGUCAAUUAUCCAGGCUGUGGUGCAAACAUGCUUCAGCAAGAUUCCAAUGGAUGAACUUAUGAUAGUUCAACAGUUGUAGAAGUUAUAGAAAUUAAGAUGACAGUACACUGUUUGUUUGUCUGUUGAAAUUUGUCUUGUAAUAGAGUCCAACUUGAUUGAAAACCUGAGACUGGCGGAGUCUCCUGUCAAUGAUUUGAAGGUCUGUUUUGGACUCGAAAAGUCCAAUGAUCUUCGAUUUUACAAACAAACAACUAUGCCCCUUUUCCGAGCAAGUUGAGUUAAUUAUAUGAA